GAUGAACGCUGGCGGCGUGCCUAAUACAUGCAAGUCGAGCGAACGGACGAGAAGCUUGCUUCUCUGAUGUUAGCGGCGGACGGGUGAGUAACACAUGGAUAACCUACCUAUAAGGCUGGGAUAACUUCGGGAAACCGUAGCUAAUACCGGAUAAUAUUUUGAACCGCAUGGUUCAAAAGUGAAAGACGGUCUUGCUGUCACUUAUAGAUGGAUCCGCGCUGCAUUAGCUAGUUGGUAAGGUAACGGCUUACCAAGGCAACGAUGCAUAGCCGACCUGAGAGGGUGAUCGGCCACACUGGAACUGAGACACGGUCCAGACUCCUACGGGAGGCAGCAGUAGGGAAUCUUCCGCAAUGGGCGAAAGCCUGACGGAGCAACGCCGCGUGAGUGAUGAAGGUCUUCGGAUCGUAAAACUCUGUUAUUAGGGAAGAACAUAUGUGUAAGUAACUGUGCACAUCUUGACGGUACCUAAUCAGAAAGCCACGGCUAACUACGUG
rnacentral:rRNA from 1 species